UACGAAGGGGGCUAGCGUUGCUCGGAAUCACUGGGCGUAAAGCGCGCGUAGGCGGCUUUUUAAGUCAGGGGUGAAAUCCUGGAGCUCAACUCCAGAACUGCCUUUGAUACUGGAGAGCUUGAGUUCGGGAGAGGUGAGUGGAACUCCGAGUGUAGAGGUGAAAUUCGUAGAUAUUCGGAAGAACACCAGUGGCGAAGGCGGCUUACUGGACACAUAUUGACGCUGAGGUGCGAAAGCGUGGGGAGCAAACAGG
rnacentral:rRNA from 1 species